CUGGACCGCAUCUUUCUGGUGUCGCCCAUCACCAUCCUGCACGAGAUUGACGAGGCCAGCCCGCUCUUCGGCAUCAGCAGGCAGGACCUGGAGACGGACGACUUUGAGAUCGUGGUCAUCCUGGAAGGCAUGGUGGAGGCCACAGCCAUGACCACCCAGGCCCGCAGCUCCUAUCUGGCCAAUGAGAUCCUGUGGGGUCACCGCUUUGAGCCCGUGCUCUUUGAGGAGAAGAACCUGUACAAGAUCGACUACUCGCACUUCCACAAGACCUAUGAGGUGCCCUCUACGCCCCGCUGCAGCGCGAAGGAUCUGGUGGAGAACAAGUGCCUGCUGCCCAGCGCAACUCCUUCUGCUACGAGAACGAGCUGGCCUUCCUGAGCCGUGACGAGGAGGAUUA
rnacentral:lncRNA from 1 species